rnacentral:rRNA from 1 species
UACGGAGGGGACUAGCGUUGUUCGGAAUUACUGGGCGUAAAGCGCACGUAGGCGGAUUUGUAAGUCAGGGGUGAAAUCCCGGGGCUCAACCUCGGAACUGCCUUUGAUACUGCAAAUCUCGAGUCCGGAAGAGGUGAGUGGAAUUCCUAGUGUAGAGGUGAAAUUCGUAGAUAUCGGGAGGAACACCAGUGGCGAAGGCGGCGACCUGGGCCAAUAUUGACGCUGAGGUGCGAAAAGCGGUGGGGAGCAAACAGG